AUUGAACGCUGGCGGUAUGCCUAACACAUGCAAGUCGAACGAGGUAGCAAUACCUAGUGGCGGACGGGUGAGGAAUACGUAGGGAUCUGCCCUUAAGUGGGGGAUAACCCGGGGAAACCCGGAUUAAUACCGCAUGAUCUCGCAAGAGCAAAGAGGGGGACCGCAAGGCCUCUCGCUUUUGGAGGAACCUACGUCGGAUUAGCUAGUUGGUGAGGUAAUGGCUCACCAAGGCGACGAUCCGUAACUGGUCUGAGAGGAUGAUCAGUCACACCGGAACUGAGACACGGUCCGGACUCCUACGGGAGGCAGCAGUGGGGAAUAUUGGACAAUGGGCGAAAGCCUGAUCCAGCAAUACCGCGUGUGUGAAGAAGGCCUUCGGGUUGUAAAGCACUUUAAGUUGGGAAGAAAAAGCUUCACCUAAUACGUGAAGCCUUGACGGUACCGACAGAAUAAGCACCGGCUAACUCUGUGCCAGCAGCCGCGGUAAUACAGAGGGUGCUAGCGUUAAUCGGAUUUACUGGGCGUAAAGCGUGCGUAGGUGGUUUGAUAAGUCGAUUGUGAAAGCCCCGGGCUUAACCUGGGAAUUGCGGUCGAUACUGUCAGACUCGAAAACGGUAGAGGGAGGUGGAACUCCAGGU
rnacentral:rRNA from 1 species